UUUAUGGAGAGUUUGAUCCUGGCUCAGGAUGAACGCUGGCGGCGUGCCUAAUACAUGCAAGUCGAGCGAACGGAUAAGGAGCUUGCUCCUUUGAAGUUAGCGGCGGACGGGUGAGUAACACGUGGGUAACCUACCUAUAAGACUGGAAUAACUUCGGGAAACCGGAGCUAAUGCCGGAUAACAUUUGGAACCGCAUGGUUCUAAAGUAAAAGAUGGUUUUGCUAUCACUUAUAGAUGGACCCGCGCCGUAUUAGCUAGUUGGUAAGGUAACGGCUUACCAAGGCAACGAUACGUAGCCGACCUGAGAGGGUGAUCGGCCACACUGGAACUGAGACACGGUCCAGACUCCUACGGGAGGCAGCAGUAGGGAAUCUUCCGCAAUGGACGAAAGUCUGAC
rnacentral:rRNA from 1 species